GCACUGAUGAGGAGUCUUAUAAUAGGACGAAACGGUCGUUCAGUGC
rnacentral:hammerhead_ribozyme from 1 species